rnacentral:lncRNA from 1 species
CCCCUUCCCACCAUCCCCUUCCUUCCAUUAGCCUUGACGCUACCUCUACGGUCCUGCAGCUGCAACUCCCCACCCCUGUCCCACAGAUGCAGGCCUCCUCUGUCCCUGGACACUGGACUUCAGGCUGAGGUGUCCUGCCUUGGAGGUAUUACCGACUUGUUUUCAUUUGUAGCCUCUUUCCAACUUUUACAUUUGGAACAUUGUAAAAAUCUGCUCUGUCAAGAAGCAUAAUUGGAAUUUUCCCACACAAAUGUUUAAAUGAGGCACUGCUCAAAGAAGAAAGGGACACCAUCCCUAGUUUCAAGGCGCGACUUGUCCUGCCCCUGAUGGCUGUGGCUGAUCCACGAGGAAGUAAACUUGGACUGGGAAAACACAAACUGUCUCGGCCUGCAACAUACAUCCCAUUGAUAAAUGUAUUGAUAAACCCUAACAUCGAUAAGACAUCUGUCUGGACCUUUCAGGUCUGAACAGACAGGGCAGCUGCUGAGAACCUGGGGAAACUGACAAUCCGAUUCCUCUCUGUGUCUGAACCUUCCCUCUUCUCACUGCACCACCAGUGCAGGCCUCUUUGACUCACACAAGACCGUUUUUUUAGCACAAGGUCACCUCGAGGUCAACCGUCAACCCCAAUGCUACAGAAACUCACCUCUGACUGCGAACCUCCAGGUUUUUUUUUAAUCUACCAAGCAAUGAAUUGGCACUUUUCACUGAGGAAUGACUACUGGGCCCU